rnacentral:tRNA from 1 species
GGGGGCGUAGCUCAGUCGGUUAGAGCGCCUGCCUGUCACGCAGGAGGUCGCGGGUUCGAGUCCCGUCGCUCCCG